rnacentral:rRNA from 1 species
GCUUGCACUUGGGGAUUAGUGGCGAACGGGUGAGUAACACGUGAGUAACCUGCCCUGGACUCUGGGAUAACCCCGAGAAAUCGGAGCUAAUACCGGAUAGGACCCUUCACCGCAUGGUGCGGGGUGGAAAGUUUUUCGGUCUGGGAUGGACUCGCGGCCUAUCAGCUUGUUGGUGAGGUAAUGGCUCACCAAGGCGUCGACGGGUAGCCGGCCUGAGAGGGUGACCGGCCACACUGGGACUGAGACACGGCCCAGACUCCUACGGGAGGCAGCAGUGGGGAAUAUUGCACAAUGGGCGAAAGCCUGAUGCAGCAACGCCGCGUGCGGGAUGACGGCCUUCGGGUUGUAAACCGCUUUUAGUAAGGAAGAAGCCGCAAGGUGACGGUACUUGCAGAAAAAGGACCGGCUAACUACGUGCCAGCAGCCGCGGUAAUACGUAGGGUCCGAGCGUUGUCCGGAAUUAUUGGGCGUAAAGAGCUCGUAGGCGGUUUGUCGCGUCUGCUGUGAAAACUAGAGGCUCAACCUCUAGCCUGCAGUGGGUACGGGCAGACUUGAGUGGUGUA